UAUUAAGAUGGACGCAACAAGAAAUUCUCUCCUAAAAUUGGCAUUCUUAUUAUUUUUCAUCAUUGCAACAGAUAUGUUCAUGGAAUCAGAAGCAUACUGUAAAACAGAUCACGAUUGUCGUAAGCCUAGUGUUAUCAAAGAGCUUGAUUGUCCAGUCCAGCAACCUCCGGUGUGUUUUAAUAACGAGUGUGCAUGUGAUCCCAGUAACCCUCCAAAACAAAAAAUUGUGUAAUUGUUAUGAGAAUAAUAAUAUUAUAAUAAUUAAUAAUAAUGACAAUAUAAUAUAUUGAUAUUAA